UACGUAGGGACCAAGCGUUGUUCGGAUUUACUGGGCGUAAAGGGCGCGUAGGCGGCGUGACAAGUCACUUGUGAAAUCUCCGGGCUUAACUCGGAACGGCCAAGUGAUACUGUCGUGCUAGAGUGCAGAAGGGGCAAUCGGAAUUCUUGGUGUAGCGGUGAAAUGCGUAGAUAUCAAGAGGAACACCUGAGGUGAAGACGGGUUGCUGGGCUGACACUGACGCUGAAGCGCGAAAGCUAGGGGGAGCAAACGGGG
rnacentral:rRNA from 1 species